rnacentral:rRNA from 1 species
CCUACGGGAGACAGCAGUAAGGGAUAUUGGUCAAUGGGGGAAACCCUGAACCAGCAACACCGCGUGAGGGAAGACGGUUUUCGGAGUGUAUACCUCUGUCCUCUGUGAAGAUGAUGACGAUAGCAGAGAAGGAAGCUCCGGCUAACUACGUGCCAGCAGCAGCGGUCUUACGUAGGGAGCGAGCGUUUACCGGAUUUACUGGAGGUAAAGGGUGCGUAGGCGGCUUGGGAAGUCAGUAGUGAAAUCCAUGGGCUUAACCCAUGAACUGCGAUUGAAACUGUCGAGCUUGCGUGAAGUAGAGGUAGGCGGAAUUCGCGGUGUAGCGGUGAAAUGCGUAGAGAUCGGGAGGAACACCAGUGGCGAAGGCGGCCUACUGGGCUUUAACUGACGCUGAGGCACGAAAGCGUGGGUAGCAAACAGGAUUAGAUACCCCUGUAGUC